GACCGCUCCUGUUGCCUAGUGGUUAGAGCGUCCGCCUCGGAUGCGGGAGGAAGGGUUCGAACCCCGGACAAGUCA